rnacentral:rRNA from 1 species
AUGAGCAAAGCUUUGUGUCCCAAAUUCAGAGGUUUGUCCACUUAUGAAAAGGAGUAUCUUGCAGUAGUAGUGGCGGUUGAGCAAUGGCGACCCUAUUUGCAGCACAGUGAGUUCGUGAUCCAGACGGACCAAAAGAGCCUCAUUCACCUGGAGGAACAAAGACUGACUACACCGUGGCAGCAAAAGGCUUUUACCAAAUUGUUGGGACUCCGCUACACUAACAAAUACAAGAAAGGGGUAGAGAAUGGAGCAGCUGACGCACUGUCCAGAGCCACGCAUGUUGAUCAACUUCACACGGUCUCUUCUUGCAAGCCUAGUUGGAUGGAAGAUGUCCUCAGCAGUUACAAUUCUAAUCCUCAGGCACACAAGUUGCUGGAACAACUAGCCAUUCGUCCGGAUCCCAAGGGGCGUUUCACUCUAGAACAGGGGAUCGUUCAUUUUCGAGGGAGGAUUUGGCUCGGUGGCGCAACAGCUAUGCAGCAGCAGAUCAUUGCUGCGUUUCAUGACACUCCGCUCGGUGGACACUCUGGUUUUCCGGUCACUUGGCGUCGGGUGCGCCGCUUGUUUGCAUGGCCUAAAAUGAAGACUCAUAUUCAGCACUACGUCCGUUGCUGCCCAACUUGUCAACAGGAGAAAACAGAUCGAGCAGCGUAUCCAGGGCUGCUUGAGCCUUCGCCAGUACCCAAGGAGUCCUGGGAAAUGAUAAGCAUGGAUUUUAUCAAUGGUUUGCCUCCUUCUGGCGGCGUCAACUGCAUUCUGGUCAUUGUGGACAAACUGACCAAGUUCGCCCACUUCCUUCCGUUGGCUCACCCGUACACGGCCUCCAAGGUUGCUCUGUUGUACAUGAACCAAGUUUAUCGGCUACAUGGAUUUCCAGGUUCGAUCGUAUCCGACCAUGAUCCCGUGUUUACGAGUCAUUUCUGGCAAGAGUUGUUUAAAUUACGCUGGGACUGGCCUGCGCAUGAGUUCUGCCAAUCACCCAGAGACUGA